rnacentral:rRNA from 1 species
AGUGAACGCUGGCGGUAGGCCUAACACAUGCAAGUCGAACGGCAGCACAGUAAGAGCUUGCUCUUACGGGUGGCGAGUGGCGGACGGGUGAGGAAUAUAUCGGAAUCUACUUUUUCGUGGGGGAUAACGUAGGGAAACUUACGCUAAUACCGCAUACGACCCACGGGUGAAAGCAGGGGAUCUUCGGACCUUGCGCGAUUGAAUGAGCCGAUGUCGGAUUAGCUAGUUGGCGGGGUAAAGGCCCACCAAGGCGACGAUCCGUAGCUGGUCUGAGAGGAUGAUCAGCCACACUGAAACUGGGACACGGUCCAGACUCCUACGGGAGGCAGCAGUGGGGAAUGUUGGACAAUGGGCGCAAGCCUGAUCCAACCAUACCGCGUGGGUGAAGAAGGCCUUCGGGUUGUAAAGCCCUUUUGUUGGGAAAGAAAAGCAGCAGGUUAAUACCCCGCUGUUCUGACGGUACCCAAAGAAUAAGCACCGGCUAACUUCGUG